rnacentral:lncRNA from 1 species
CACGUGUAUACAACUAUAAAAUGAAGAAUAAAAGCUUAAAGUUUCUUCUGAAUUAUGUUAAGCUAGUUUGUGAAUUAUGUUUGAUUUGAACUGUAGUAGGAUAUGGUAGAUGAACAGGAUUUACUAAUGGCUUAUGAACUAUGGUAUAAGAUACUAGUAAAACUCUGCUCAACUGUUAUACCCUUACUUGAUUAAGGGAGUGGGGUGUAAUAGAGUUUCCACCAAGAUCAUCACUUCAGUCUGUACAGAGCUUGAGAGGUAUACUUUAGAAGCACAACAAAUAAGAUGAGCUCUGAUGGAUGCAUUAUUUUUGGCCA